UAGGGAAUCUUCCACAAUGGACGCAAGUCUGAUGGAGCAACGCCGCGUGAGUGAAGAAGGGUUUCGGCUCGUAAAGCUCUGUUGUUAAAGAAGAACGUGGGUGAGAGUAACUGUUCACCCAGUGACGGUAUUUAACCAGAAAGCCACGGCUAACUACGUGCCAU
rnacentral:rRNA from 1 species